GGAAAUCGAAGGGCCGAGGAAGUUGUGGAUUCUGAUAUUGAAGUUAGGCCUAGUACUCGUGCUCUGAAACGGGCACUUCUGGUUGCACUUAGAUGUGUUGAUCCUGAUUCAGAAAAACGACCCCGGAUGAGCCAAGUAGUUAGAAUGCUUGAAACUGAAGAAGUUCCAUAUCGCGAGGAUCGACGAAACAGGAGAAGUAGA
rnacentral:misc_RNA from 1 species